rnacentral:rRNA from 1 species
GACGAACGCUGGCGGCGUGCUUAACACAUGCAAGUCGAACGGAAAGGCCCUGCUUGCAGGGUACUCGAGUGGCGAACGGGUGAGUAACACGUGGGUGAUCUGCCCUGCACUUCGGGAUAAGCCUGGGAAACUGGGUCUAAUACCGGAUAGGAGCCAUUUUUAGUGUGAUGGUUGGAAAGUUUUUUCGGUGUAGGAUGAGCUCGCGGCCUAUCAGCUUGUUGGUGGGGUAAUGGCCUACCAAGGCGGCGACGGGUAGCCGGCCUGAGAGGGUGGACGGCCACAUUGGGACUGAGAUACGGCCCAGACUCCUACGGGAGGCAGCAGUGGGGAAUAUUGCACAAUGGGCGCAAGCCUGAUGCAGCGACGCCGCGUGGGGGAUGACGGCCUUCGGGUUGUAAACUCCUUUCGCUAGGGACGAAGCUUUUUGUGACGGUACCUAGAUAAGAAGCACCGGCUAACUACGUGCCAGCAGCCGCGGUAA